rnacentral:tRNA from 1 species
GACCCGUUAGCUCAAUUUGGCAGAGCAGCUGACUCUUAAUCAGCAGGUUGAAGGUUCAAUUCCUUCACGGGUCA